CCUGGCUCAGAUUGAACGCUGGCGGCAUGCCUUACACAUGCAAGUCGAACGGCAGCGCGGACUUCGGUCUGGCGGCGAGUGGCGAACGGGUGAGUAACAUAUCGGAACGUGCCCUGGAGUGGGGGAUAACUAGUCGAAAGAUUAGCUAAUACCGCAUACGAUCCAUGGAUGAAAGUGGGGGACCGCAAGGCCUCAUGCUCGUGGAGCGGCCGAUAUCUGAUUAGCUAGUUGGUGGGGUAAAGGCCCACCAAGGCAUCGAUCAGUAGCUGGUCUGAGAGGACGACCAGCCACACUGGGACUGAGACACGGCCCAGACUCCUACGGGAGGCAGCAGUGGGGAAUUUUGGACAAUGGGGGCAACCCGGAUCCAGCAAUGCCGCGUGAGUGAAGAAGGCCUUCGGGUUGUAAAGCUCUUUUGUCAGGGAAGAAACGGCGGAGGCUAAUAUCCUCUGCUAAUGACGGUACCUGUAGAAUAAGCACCGGCUAACUACGUGCCAGCAGCCGCGGUAAUACGUAGGGUGCGAGCGUUAAUCGGAAUUACUGGGCGUAAAGCGUGCGCAGGCGGUUGUGCAAGACAGAUGUGAAAUCCCCGGGCUCAACCUGGGAAUUGCAUUUGUGACUGCACGGCUAGAGUGUGUCAGAGGGGGGGGUAGAAAUUCCACGUGUAGCAGUGAAAUGCGGUAGAGAUGUGGAGGGAAUACCGGAUGGCGAAAGGCAGCCCCCUGGGAUAAACACUGACGCUCAUGCACGAGAGGCGGUGGGGGGAGCCAAACAGGGAUUAGAUACCC
rnacentral:rRNA from 1 species